UAUCCCUAAUUUUAUUAUUGAUUAGGAAGAUAUAUAUUGGUUGUUAUUUAAACGUUCACUAUUAAAUUAAGAGCGUUACAUUCUUUAUUAUAUGGACAAAUUUUUUUUUUUCAAAAUCAAAUAGACAUUUAUUCAUUGAAUUGGAAUAUUUGGGCUACGAUGAUCUUACAGUAGGAUAAAAAAGGUAAUAUCAUUAUAAAAUUAUAUAAAAAUACGGUGUAAUAAAAAAAACAAUUUUAAUAGAAAGAGAAAAUAAGUUCCAAUACCUUAUCUCUUUAAAAUUCACAGGCUCUUCAAAAUUCAUGAGCUCUUAAAAAAUCGGAAGUAUUAAGUGCAGCGGCUGCAAUGAUUGGCUGCUAUGUUGCGAGCUCUCCUUAAAAAAUGAAUCUAUUACGUAUUUUUUAUAUCUCCCAUAAAAGCGAUGACAAAUUGGUGAUAUUCUCUGUAUUCGUUUAUAAAUUCUUACAUUUAUUGAAAGUCCAUUGUGCAUAAAUUUCCAAAGGAAUAAUCUAACUUUCGGUUGACAUUGUAAGUCCCAAAUGAAAUUUUAGAGUCUCUUCAUUGCGAAUUGAGUUGGAAGCUGCUCUAGAGGAGGUGGUAGAACUGAAACGCCAAGGAGUAUCUUGAUGCUGCUGUAUAAUUGCCCUUCUUCUCUUUCGACCAGGUGUUCCUCAGGGUCUUGGGUUCCAUCAUAUCUCAUGUCCGUUGGCUUGUCGAAGUGGUGAGGGUGACUGGGAGAUGGGUGCUGGAGAGCUCUAGGAAUGGAAGCUACAAUGAGAAUAUGCAUCAAGGAUGGGACAAUCAAAGGUAGGAAGAGCCUCAAGCUUAUGGACAACCUCCAUGGCAUCAACCCUCUCUAAUGUACUACGAGCAAGAGCCAUUCCAUGAUGCAUACCAAGACAAUGGAUAUGGUGAACCUCCUUGUGACUACCAACAACCACUACCAUAUACCUAUGAACCCCCUCCUCAACAUAGUUUUGAACCGCCAUACUCACAAGCCCCUUACAAUCAAACACUUCCAUAUGACCGUAACCCAUAUCCACCAUACCAACCACCUUUGAGCCAUAUGAUCUAUACAUAGAAUCACCCCAAUUCCAACACAAUUACUCCCAAGAACCACCUCACUAUACACCAUCUCCAUAUCCUUAUCAAGAUGAACCACCUUCCUAUCAUGAACCCUUCCUCCCAAGCAAUAAACCCUCAUAUCCACUCCAAUCUCCAAUGGAUGACACCCUUGGUGUUCUUCUUCAAGGGCAAGAAGAGAUGCAAACGACGACACUGGAAUUCAUAGCUAUCUUGACCGAGGUAGUAAAUAAUUUAGUAACCCUACGUUUAGACACUCAAAGUAUCCCCAUGGACACAUGUGGAGAAUCUAAUGAGGAUCAUAGCAUGAAGGAGAGAUUAGAAGCCCCGGUGGAAAAUGAGGAAUGUGGUUUUGUACUAGAACAAUUGGAGGAA